AUGCGGGAUAUAAAAACAUAUCUCUCUGUAGCACCCGUGCUAAGUACUCUAUGGUUUGGUGCUUUAGAAGGUUUAUUGAUAGAAAUUAAUCGUUUAUUCCCAGAUGCUUUGUCAUUCCCUUUUUUUAAUUCUAGUUAUUGCUAUGGAAGGGAUAGAUUUCUUCGUGAUAUGACAAAAUUUGAUCCUUUUCAAUCUUUUUUUAGUAUCGGAAGGAAAAGGAAAGAAAAGAUGGAUUGGGUUGAACCUCAGAGUCAUUAA
rnacentral:rRNA from 1 species